rnacentral:tRNA from 1 species
AACAUAGAAGUAAAAAAUACACCUAGUUUCGACCUAGAAUUUAAGGAAAAUAUCCUCAUGUUU